CCUACGGGUGGCAGCAGUGAGGAAUAUUGGUCAAUGGACGCAAGUCUGAACCAGCCAUGCCGCGUGCAUGAAGAAGGCUCUAUGAGUUGUAAACUGCUUUUGUACGAGGGUAAACGCAGAUACGCGUAUCUGUCUGAAAGUAUCGUACGAAUAAGGAUCGGCUAACUCCGUGCCAGCAGCCGCGGUAAUACGGAGGAUUCAAGCGUUAUCCGGAUUUAUUGGGUUUAAAGGGUGCGUAGGCGGUCGGAUAAGUUAGAGGUGAAAUCCCGAGGCUCAACUUCGGAAUUGCCUGUGAUACUGUGCGGCUAGAGAGUAGUUGAGGUAGGCGGAAUGUAUGGUGUAGCGGUGAAAUGCUUAGAGAUCAUACAGAACACCGAUUGCGAAGGCAGCUUACCAAGCUACAUCUGACGUUGAGGCACGAAAGCGUGGGGAGCAAACAGGACUAGAUACCCGUGUAGUC
rnacentral:rRNA from 1 species